UUACUUACCUGACGUCGCUAUCAAGUGAUCAACAAGGCUUGAUAGCUGGAGAGGAUUUCUGGCAUUGCACACCGCCGGGAAACCUCACUGCGAACGCCCUAAAUAUUGGGUGUCUCGGGCGUAUAAUUUUUGUUUGAUGGAGAAUGUGCGCAACGCGCUAUUCUCCU
rnacentral:snRNA from 1 species